UUAGUGCCCUUAUAAAAGAGAUCCCAGAGCUAGCUCACUCACUUUCUACCAUGUGAGGACACAGCAGUGAGAAGGCCACAGUCUGCAACCCAGAAGGUGGCCCUCACUGGAACCCAACUGUACUAGCACCCUGACCUCAGGCUUCCAGCCUCCAGAACUGCAGUCUGUGUCUUCUGGUUGGUGCAUUUAGUCCACUUACAGUCAAGCAAAUAUGAUGCAUAUAGGAUGCCUGCAUUGCUCCCUCCUGCAUUCCUUAAAACUCUCCACCCUCGAAGACCAGGAACUUCAAAUGUGGAAACCUUUAAAUCAGGUCUUUUUUAAUGGGUUUAUUUCAGAUUCAGAAUACUGUUCCAGUGUUGCCUUUGGUUCUGCAUGAAAACUCAAUGACUCUGAGAGCUAGACUUUCAGAAGGGGAAAGUAGGAUUGUGCUAAAUGCAGGACUCGCAGCCCUGCAGAAAUGCAACAUCUUCACUGACCCGUGUGCAGGGAGGCUGAAGGGGCGGCAGGAUCACAGGCUUGGAUGGAAGAUCCACCAAAUGGCAAUGGCAGUAACUGAUCAAAUGAACUUCAGCACUUUGCUUAGCUCCCUUUCAUCUGUUUCUUCAUUCAUAAAAAAAUAAAUAAAGAUAGAAGGAUAUAUAUAAGAUUUCAUUGAGGUACUAAAUGAAAAGUGGUUGUUGUAAAAUAAAAUUUUACAUAACAUGCAAUAUACUGUUCAUUCCCAGUAACAUGUAGUGUCCUGGCCACGACAAUCAAAGCAGCUGUUGUCUCAGCGAGAAGGGAGACCCCUGGCAACAGCAAAGAUGACCCUGCCUCCAUGGCCCAGGUUUAAGUUUCAAAACAGACAGAGUGUGGUGUGCUGGUAAACAUUCAGCUACAAGCAGGUCUUAACAAAACAAAACAAAACAAAACAAAACAAACAAAAAAAGACCUAUUUGUAGCCCCUAAUGAUUUUUGUGGUGAAAAUAUUCUCCAUCAUUCCUAAUUUCAAUCCACCAAUGUGAUAUCAUCGAGUAGAAAGUUAGAAGAGAUGAACAGGCUAGGAGCACAUGAACUUCCAAAGCUGCAGUUUGCUGUUUAGCAUUACAAAAAGAAAGAUGCAGGAUAUGACAAGGUGCUGUUUCUUGCCACCUAGCAAAAAAUGUGAGUAAAAACUUUUCUCAAGCUACGAGGAAGAUUGUGGAGUGAUUCAGAGGGAGUCACGUGAGAAGUGGCCCAGCCCACGUGUCCCAUUGGUCUGGCUGUGGUGAGAUACAGACACCUGGGCAGGAAGAAGAAUUCAAACGUUCCUCCUUGAAAUUCUGUGAGCCCUUCCUCUGAUCAGAGAACCUGUGACUGUGUGUCACUGUUAGGCAGGGAAAGGAGUGAAGAUAAGACUUCUGACUCCUCACCGGCCUCCUGCAGCAUGAAGAGGGC